rnacentral:misc_RNA from 1 species
GAAACCCUGAAUUAGUGCAACAAGCAAUUAACAGUUGCCCAGUUGAUUGUAUCCAUUGGACUUCUGCUGCACAACUGUCUUUGCUUGAGGAUGAAAUGCGCAGAGUAGAAAGAGUGAAUGUUGGACUAAUGCUUUCAGGGAUGGGGUCAGCAUCAGUAGAUGUUUUCAGAAUGGCAAAUUCCCGAUGGGAAAAAAGGCAAGCAAAAGUCCUGGAGCAAGCUAAAAUAAGGAUCAUGAAGCAGAAAGAUUCCAAUAAAACUGAAUCAUACUGGGUUAAUAUUUGGGGUGAGCCAAAAGACUACAAAAAAUCAGAGGAGGAAGUGAAAGAGAGAGCUAGCAGAGCUGCUGCGGCAGCAAGAAAAUGGAGGGAGUACUCACAGAGGGGUGUUGAUAAGCCUCCUACUUUUAAACUUCCAGAGACAAUCUCCAACAACGAUAAAUGAUCGGUUCACUUGAUAUUGCUACUAAUUCGCC